rnacentral:rRNA from 1 species
CGCGCGCAGGCGGUCCUUUAAGUCUGAUGUGAAAGCCCACGGCUCAACCGUGGAGGGUCAUUGGAAACUGGGGGACUUGAGUGCAGAAGAGGAGAGCGGAAUUCCACGUGUAGCGGUGAAAUGCGUAGAUAUGUGGAGGAACACCAGUGGCGAAGGCGGCUCUCUGGUCUGUAACUGACGCUGAGGCGCGAAAGCGUGGGGAGCGAACAGGAUUAGAUACCCUGGUAGUCCACGCUGUAAACGAUGAGUGCUAAGUGUUAGAGGGUUUCCGCCCUUUAGUGCUGCAGCAAACGCAUUAAGCACUCCGCCUGGGGAGUACGGCCGCAAGGCUGAAACUCAAAGGAAUUGACGGGGGCCCGCACAAGCGGUGGAGCAUGUGGUUUAAUUCGAAGCAACGCGAAGAACCUUACCAGGUCUUGACAUCCUCCUGACCGUCCUAGAGAUAGGGCUUUCCCUUCGGGGACAGGAGUGACAGGUGGUGCAUGGUUGUCGUCAGCUCGUGUCGUGAGAUGUUGGGUUAAGUCCCGCAACGAGCGCAACCCUUGAUCUUAGUUGCCAGCAUUCAGUUGGGCACUCUAAGGUGACUGCCGGUGACAAACCGGAGGAAGGUGGGGAUGA